rnacentral:rRNA from 1 species
UUUGGUGGCGAUGGCGGAGGGGUUCCACACGUACCCAUCCCGAACACGACCGUUAAGCCCUCUAGCGCCGAUGGU